rnacentral:rRNA from 1 species
GCAUAUCAAUAAGCGGAGGAAAAGAAACCAACAGGGAUUGCCCUAGUAACGGCGAGUGAAGCGGCAACAGCUCAAAUUUGAAAUCUGGCUCUCGGGCCCGAGUUGUAAUUUGUAGAGGAUACUUUUGAUGCGGUGCCUUCCGAGUUCCCUGGAACGGGACGCCAUAGAGGGUGAGAGCCCCGUCUGGUUGGAUGCCAAAUCUCUGUAAAGUUCCUUCAACGAGUCGAGUAGUUUGGGAAUGCUGCUCUAAAUGGGAGGUAUAUGUCUUCUAAAGCUAAAUACCGGCCAGAGACCGAUAGCGCACAAGUAGAGUGAUCGAAAGAUGAAAAGCACUUUGAAAAGAGAGUUAAAAAGUACGUGAAAUUGUUGAAAGGGAAGCGUUUAUGACCAGACUUGGGCUUGGUUAAUCAUCUGGGGUUCUCCCCAGUGCACUUUUCCAGUCCAGGCCAGCAUCAGUUUUCCCCGGGGGAUAAAGGCGGCGGGAAUGUGGCUCUCUUCGGGGAGUGUUAUAGCCCACCGUGUAAUACCCUGGGGGGGACUGAGGUUCGCGCAUCUGCAAGGAUGCUGGCGUAAUGGUCAUCAACGACCCGUCUUGAAACACGGACCAAGGAGUCGUCUUCGUAUGCGAGUGUUCGGGUGUCAAACCCCUACGCGUAAUGAAAGUGAACGCAGGUGAGAGCUUCGGCGCAUCAUCGACCGAUCCUGAUGUUCUCGGAUGGAUUUGAGUAAGAGCAUACGGGGCCGGACCCGAAAGAAGGUGAACUAUGCCUGUAUAGGGUGAAGCCAGAGGAAACUCUGGUGGAGGCUCGCAGCGGUUCUGACGUGCAAAUCGAUCGUCAAAUAUGGGCAUGGGGGCGAAAGACUAAUCGAACCUUCUAGUAGCUGGUUCCGCG